CGUCAGCAGAGAAAACAAAUGAACGUUUUUUCCAUCCACGAAUUUUGCUUUGAACGAUGGCGUGCCCUUUUUUACGAGAUCCAAUUGACAUCGGGGCACAAGUUGUGAGAAAAACAAUACGAACUAAGCGUUUGUUCAGAGACAGACAAAUUCCUCUAAGUUUUUCUGAAGAAUACAUUAACGAGAGGUAUCACUUCUUGUCUCAUUGUAUAGUAUACCUGGCGGAUCUGUUGACACCUUCAUUGAGCAACGAUACACUGCGCAGCUGUGCGCUUACACUAAUGCAAACACUCUGCAUCGGUUUACAUUUUUUCGCAUGUGGAGAAUAUAUGCAUGCAGUCGGUGACGCUGAAAACUUGAGCAAAUCCACAGUUUGUCGAGCCAUACGGAGAAUAUGCAUCGCACUGACGAAUUCUCCCUGAUUUCGUGAAGUUCCCUGGUCAUUGUUCUCAACAAGAAGUUAAAGACUGCUUUUAUAGAAUAGCAGGUUAUGUAUUUCAUAGUAGGCCAAUGCUUUUGUUAGCUUACAGUUUAACUUACUAGUACUAUCUAAAUAAUUGAACGCCUGUGAUCGUUGCAGGACUACCUAAUGUUAUUGGUGUGGUGGACUCCACUCACAUAUCCAUCAAAGCGCCUUCAGGACCAGAGGUAUCUGAUUAUACUAAUCAGAGAUCAUUUCACAGCAUAAAUGUGCAGAUGGUUUGUGAUUCGCAAUGUCUCAUCACAAACAUUGAGGCAAAGUGGCCUGGAUCUGUGAAUGACUUCCACAUACUCCAAAAGAGUGUGCUGUACCAUCAGUUUCAGCAAGGUUGUUUUGAUGGGCAGCUUGUGGCUGACAAUGAGUAUCCCUGUCUUCCAUUCUUGAUGAUGCCAUACCUGAAUCCUAAACCAGGCGCCGAGAGCUGCUUCAACAAGGCACUGUACGAGACAAGGGCAUGCAUUAAGACAACAUUCACCACGUUACGGUCCCGAUUUGGUUGUUUGAAGGGUCUCAGAGUAUCGCCACAGAGAGCUUGUGACAUAAUAGUGGCAUGCAUGGUCCUUCAUAACGUUGCAAUCAUUCGUAAGGAGGCUCCACCCUGUUUCAGUUGGAUGCCCCGGAAAAACCCAGAGCCUGUUCACUGUGAUUACCAAGAUUGUACAGCAAUCAGGGAUAGCAUUGCUGCUCAGCUCUUUGUGUCAUGCAGCCAAGUGUUAUGACAAUUUCACACAAUUACAUUUUCUCCACUAAGUGAUUGAACCACAGUGGCUUUUUCACAAUUGGAUUUGCUCAACUCCUGGAUCCCAUGUCCUCUGUUCUCUCUGGCCCCCAUUUUUUUUUAAAGUUAAAAGCUAAUGAGAUUUGAAAAUGUGCUUGUAUGAAAUGAUUCCUCCAAUCAUGCAUCAUCAGGCAAAUUACAAUUACAGGGUGGAAUCACAAAAUACAUGCAGCUAGUUGUACAAGCUAUUUUAUAUAUAAAAGGAUAGCAUAUUGUUUAAAUGUUUGCAUGCUUUUCUGAUUUUAGAAAACAAUUGGUGAUUCAUAGGGGGGUGUGGCAGAUGUCAAAACUUUUCUGAAAAGGACUCCGGUAAGCUACACUUGUGCUUCCUUGCCAAAAGGAGGCUAUUGAGGAGGGAAGGACAGUCUUCCGUUUGCCUACUAACAAAUUAAACAUGCUCCUCGACCACUUUCUGGGUCACGGGAGGAGGGUAGACUUCUGCCCAAAUGAGAGAAGGCUACUGACUACAUAUAGACACGGCACCACUCCAGAGAUAUGCCCUCCAGAAAUCAGUAAAUGGAAGAAGGAAUCUGACACACCUUUUUUGGGGGGGGGGGGGGAGAACAUUUAUUCAAUAAGUAAAACUGAAAGAUUGCAAUAACUGUACAUAAGCAUGAUUCAUUUCCGUUCAUGACUGCAAAGAAAAGAGAAACAUGUAAACAUGAGCUAAGGUUGAUAGAAAUUUCAUGAAUAAAUCCAACAUUUGGUUAAAUUAGAAAUAUGACAACUGGUUGUUGACCUGAUGUGGAUGGUUUUAGGUUAAGUUACAUUCUGAACAGCCUUCCUGUUAGUUUUCUCCAAUCCUGGGCCUUUUACCACCAAGUUUGACUUUGUUUAUGCAAAAGUUCUAAGUUGAUUGUUUAUUUAACUGUCCUACAAUUCUACUAACAAUGAUGCUGCUUGUGUGACAUGACAUCUUGUAAACAUUAAGGUGUGGAACUUACAUUUAAUUGUUUCUCAAGUAAUUUCAUCUCCAAGGACAUCUUUUGCAUCUUUAAUCUCCUGUAGUCAAUCUCCUGUUGCAAGUAUUUCAUAUACAAGUCCUUCACUUUGACAUUUGAGGGCUUUCUUUUUUUGUCCCCCUUAAAAACAUUGAGAUUUAAUCAAAUGCAUAAUUUGUAUUAAUGGCUGCCAUUACACCCAUAAUUUUCUCAGUAUAUUGUAUUCAUAAUGUAGAAAUAUUAGACCUUACAUGGCAAACUUUUUUUUUGGCGUAAUCUUACCUCGCUGUUCCAUGUUUUGGAAGUGGAUGGUGUGGCCUCAGGUGAGGUCUCGUUUAUGCCUGGACCCUACGGAGUUGUAAUGUUUAGGCCAUUAUCUUUAUCUAUGAGGUCUGAUAACUGAUUAGGCCACUUCCAGAAUACUUUAUAUAAUAACUAUAUACGCAUCAAAUACAUUAAUUUAACACAUUCCACUUGAACAUUUUCCAACCACACAUCUCUUCUGAAUAAACCAUA